UGCGUAGGCGGAAUUUUAAGUCAGUGGUGAAAUCCUGCAGCUCAACUGUAGAACUGCCAUUGAUACUGAUCUUCUUGAAUUUAGUUGAGGUGGGCGGAACGUGUAAUGUAGCGGUGAAAUGCUUAGAUAUUACACAGAACACCGAUUGCGAAGGCAGCUCACUAAACUAACAUUGACGCUGAGGCGCGAAAGCGUGGGGAGCAAACAGGAUUAGAUACCCUGGUAGUCC
rnacentral:rRNA from 1 species